GAUGAACGCUGGCGGCGUGCCUAAUACAUGCCAGUCGAGCGAACGGACGAGAAGCUUGCUUCUCUGAUGUUAGCGGCGGACGGGUGAGUAACACGUGGAUAACCUACCUAUAAGACUGGGAUAACUUCGGGAAACCGGAGCUAAUACCGGAUGAUAUUUUGAACCGCAUGGUUCAAAAGUGAAAGACGGUCUUGCUGUCACUUAUAGAUGGAUCCGCGCUGCAUUAGCUAGUUGGUAAGGUAACGGCUUACCAAGGCAACGAUGCAUAGCCGACCUGAGAGGGUGAUCGGCCACACUGGAACUGAGACACGGUCCAGACUCCUACGGGAGGCAGCAGUAGGGAAUCUUCCGCAAUGGGCGAAAGCCUGACGGAGCAACGCCGCGUGAGUGAUGAAGGUCUUCGGAUCGUAAAACUCUGUUAUUAGGGAAGAACAUAUGUGUAAGUAUCUGUGCACAUCUUGACGGUACCUAAUCAGAAAGCCACGGCUAACUACGUG
rnacentral:rRNA from 1 species